UUUGAUUCUUUUGAAAAGACUAUAGGUGGCAGUAUGUUCUUUCAUAAGAAGCCACCUAUUGUGAUGUUAUAGCCAUUGAUGUGUUAUGUCUCAAUCAUUAAUUGGGGGUAGGAAAAUGGUGAUAUUCCAAUUCUGUCAAUUCUUUUUAAUGAUUUUUAUGGAAUGUUUUUAUGAAACCAUCUUCUGUUUGAUGACUCAGUAGUACAAUUCAUCUAUGAAAAAUAUGGAACAUGUGUCAGUUCACCAUAACUGUUAACCUUAUUGAAGCUCAAGUUGUACCAUCUUUGGUCAGUGGGAGCCUUUUCAAGAGGGCGCGGAGCCGGGGCUAGCCUGCCACCGUCGCCGCCGUCGCGGGCUGAUGACCCAGAGCGCUGCGUGCUUCCCCACACGUGCCUGGCCUCUCUCGGUGUGUGCUGUUCCCCAGCAGCCGCUUUCCGUUUUGGCUUGGUUGGUGGCAUCUCCGGCUCGGGGACAUCGGCGGCUCGGGGGCUCCGAGCGCAAAGCAGGAAGCCCUGGUGGCCGCCCGGAGCGGGGAGCCCGCGGUCAUGGAACAUCUCUUCUUAGAGGUGGUCGCGCCACUGCCGUCAAUCGCUGCCAAGAACGAGAAGAGCCUCAGUGAGCUAGGCCGACUCUUGGCCAGGCAGGCUUAAAAGUAAUGCUUUGGAUAAAGGCGGAAGAUGGCGGCGUGAGUAGAGCAGCAGAAUUCUCCUCCCAAAACCACAUAUAUCUAUGAAAAUAUAACAAAGACAACCCUUCCUAGAAUAAAGAUCAGAGGACACAGGACAAUAUCCAGACAUCCAGACCACAUCCGCACCUGAGAGAACCCAGCGCCUCGUGAAAGGGGUAAGAUACAAGCCCCGGUCCGGCGGGAGCCGACCGCACAUCCCCCCAAAUCCCGGAGGGAAAAGAAUAGGUAGAGCGGGAGGGAGACGGAGCCCAGGAUUGCCGAACACCCACCCCCAGCCAUCCAGGCCAGAGUGCGGACACAGUACGUGCCCAGGGGGCAGUGGAUACUAGGAAAACAGGGCAGCAAGAACAGUGAGUCGGCACCGUAGGCCGGGCGCUGGAGGACAUAAGAAAAGCACGCGACCAUUUUUUUUUUUUUUUUUUUUUUUUGCUGUUUUGUUUUGGCGAGAGCUUUUUGGAAAUCCUAAAGGAAUAGGGACCCCAAUACUAGGGAAACAGGGCAGCAAGACCAGUGAGCAGAUGCCU